GGCUACUCCUCGCCUCGCGGCGCGGGUCCCCAGAGCCCGACCCGCGGCUCCCGGCGCUCCCAGCCGCUGGAGUUCGUUUGCAGAUCACUCCUCCCCAAACACAACUGCUGUGGCACUGUGCGAGGAAACAAAAUGUGGCAAGUGUGACGGAUGAACUCAGGGCACAGGCUUCAGAACCAGACAUACCUACCGUCGAACCCAGCCUCUUCCCUGUGGGGAACAUGGGGAAGAACUGAUGCAGUUACCACCUGUAUCCCCACAAAUGAUGUGUCCAGUGCAGCUGUGGGCUCCAGAGCCAGAGAAAGCCGGGGAGGGGAGGGGCUCUGCAUUUGGAAAACAGAGAUCAGAAUGCUUAUCUUUGAGGGUGCUUGCAAAGGUGGAGAUAAAGGUAUAUGAUGGGCACCUAGUAAGUGUUGUUAAGGGAACUUGAAGGUAUAAAGGGAUAAAGGACUAGGAAGACGUGCAAAGACUAGGGACCUGGAAACUAACUAUUAAGAGGAAUAGAUAAAAGGAGGGCCUGGAGGAGAAGGAUUCCAAUGAGAAGGUAGGCAGUGAUUCCCCAUCUAGCCUCACAUCACAAAAUCCUGGGGGUGCUUAUUAAAAAUAUGCAUUCAGGCCCUGGGCAUUGGGAGUGGCAGGCUCAGGGGUCUGUAUUUUCCUGCUUCUUAGGACCCGUUGGGUGCCUGGUAUUGACUGGUUUGUGAUGCAUCAUAUGCCAACACUCCACAAUAGCCCCAGAGGGGAACACGGGGUAGAACUGAUGUAAUGACAACAUAUGUCAAUGCAAAAUGAUCUGUCCAGUGCAGCUGUGGGCUCCCUAAGCAAGAGAGAGCCGGCGGGAGAGGAGAUGGCAGGGAUGGAGGAAGGGAAGCUGAGUUGGGAGCUGACGGAGCUCAGGGAAUGAGAACCUGGUAAACCCAGUCAUCUCACUGGGAUUCUAGAUCAUUUGAGAACUUGCAACAUCAUGGUUUGAAACCAGCUGUCUUAUGUCUCCAUCAGCUUCCAUCACAGGUGAAAAAAAUGGCUGCUCACAUCAAGGGGCAGGGGGAGCUAGACAGGGGACCAGCUCCAAGCAGGUGGCAGUUGCUCCAGCAGUCUGAGGAGCCCCUUGGCUUCCCCUCUGAGCAGAUGCUUCUUCUGCCCGGAAGGGGC